rnacentral:rRNA from 1 species
AGUGAACGCUGGCGGUAGGCCUAACACAUGCAAGUCGAACGGCAGCACAGGAGAGCUUGCUCUCUGGGUGGCGAGUGGCGGACGGGUGAGGAAUACAUCGGAAUCUACUCUGUCGUGGGGGAUAACGUAGGGAAACUUACGCUAAUACCGCAUACGACCUACGGGUGAAAGCAGGGGACCUUCGGGCCUUGCGCGAUUGAAUGAGCCGAUGUCGGAUUAGCUAGUUGGCGGGGGAAAGGCCCACCAAGGCGACGAUCCGUCGCUGGUCUGAGAGGAUGAGCAGCCACAGUGGAACUGAGAGAAGGUCCAGACUCCUACGGGAGGCAGCAGUGGGGAAUAUUGGACAAUGGGCGCAAGCCUGAUCCAGCCAUACCGCGUGGGUGAAGAAGGCCUUCGGGUUGUAAAGCCCUUUUGUUGGGAAAGAAAUCCAGCUGGCUAAUACCCGGUUGGGAUGACGGUACCCAAAGAAUAAGCACCGGCUAACUUCGUGCCAGCCGCCGCCGUAA